rnacentral:lncRNA from 1 species
UCUAAGUUAAAUAACCCUCUCGUACUAUGUGUAUUCCCUUCUCUUCUUCUACCCCUUCUUCACUGUGUGUUCAUGUUCUAUAGCAAGUCCUUUUAUGUUUUUUGCAUCUGCAGUAUAUACGCUUUCUUAUAUUUUAAUGUCAGUGUAUGCUUCCGUAUGGAAAUCCCUUCCCCCUAUUCCCCUUUUAUGUGCUAGUACUGUUAUGAAUCAUGGCAGCAUCUGACAUUGCUGUCCAUGACCUAGAAUCAGACUCUCGUGAGUCUCUACUCAAAUGCUUUCCCACUCCCUCCCCCCUUUUAUGUGUUGAGCUUUAAUUUGGGUAUGGUAGUGUCCUAAUCACCACUCAGACCCUAAGUUUGACUCCUCAGAGUUUGCUCCUAUUUGUUUGACCUGAGAAAAGGGUCAGGGGUGUGCCAGCCUAUGCCAUGGCUGGGUAUGACCACCCUCUACUAUGGUUACCCUUUCACUUUGCACUCAUUCCUAGUUCUUAAGCUCUACCUCCCUUUGGUAAGCCAUGCUUAGGGACCCUGGAGUUCCCUCUGAACUUGGAUGCCUGAGGGUUGGUAAUUUCACACUUGCACAAUUCUGUUACAAUAUUUACUCUUCAGAGUGUAAGCAUUCCCUGUGUUCUUGAAGCUCCCUAGAAUUGUGAAACACUCUGAAUAAGAGAAGACCUUGGAAUAUGAAUCCAGAUUUGGUGACACACAUGUUAUUGGAUAUUGAGAUUGCAUUAAGCAGUUUGGAUCUAGCUGCAGGCUGUGAUGUAUUUUAAUUACUUUCUUCCUUCUUGUUCUGUAAUAAUUCCUUGUAAAAAUAACUGGGGGGUAUAUUAGUAAAUGGUAUGGGAGGGGUUUAUAUUUGCUUGCAUAUGUUAAAGGGUAGAUACCAUGCCUAUAGGAUCAAUAUUGUUGUUUAAUUACUUAGAUACCAUGCUUGUAGGAUUCAUGUUGCAAUUCAAUCAUUUAGAUAUCAUGCCUAUAGGUUUUUUAAUGUUUGAACUCGAUCACUUAGAUAUCGUGCCUAUAGAUUUAAUGCAUAUCACACAAUCCGGUCAUAUGGAAAUUUCGCCUAUAAGGUGUAAUAUUCAGUCAUAUUGCAAUUCAUUAGAAAUCAUGCCUACAGGACUUAAUAUUCAUGCAAAUCGGUUGCAUAUAGAAAUCAUGUCUAUAGGUAAUGCAUACGCGUAGGCAAAAUUGUACGAUAACCAGGCAUGCCACUUAUUUACCAACUCCGUAAUAAGUUUUAAAAUCCAGAAUAAGUCUGUAUCGCUUAAUCUGUUUAAGUAAUAAUAACUGGGUAACUAGUUUAACGUGCCAGUGUCAUGUUUUCAAUACAUAACUCUUAUGAGCAUGCAAUUUUUUUUUAAAGUUUCUGCAAAUCUGUCCGAAGCAGUUCUUUAAAAUUUUCUGUUCAAAACAAUCCUUUAGUUCUUUCUUUCUUUUAAAGGUAUUUUGCAUUUUUUACAACUCUCAUGUGUUUUCACUCAAACAAAUCUGCAGAUUCCAAAGUCAUUGCUGAACUUCUGCAAUUUUCAACUUCCUAUUUAAAUUCUUAUGCAUUAGGGUUUUGUCUGAAAUCAAUUAUUUUUAAAUAGUUCGUUUAAAACACUCCAAUUCCUAACAAUUGGAUUCGAGAUUCCUAAUGCAGAACUUUUAUCUAAUUCUACGUGUUAAACCGGUCCGUCCGCCGCUUAUGUUUUAAUUUUAAGACCAAACUAGUAUGUGUAAGGCAUGCUUAACUAAAUCUAAUUUACGGGGUUUUAUGUGAGCCUUGCAUGUUUGUUUGUUAAUCCCCUUACUUUAUAUUUUUUUUGGUUGUCGAAACUAGUAUUUUGUCCUUUUAAACCCCAUAUAUGCCUCUACCCUUUUCUUUCCCUUUAGGAUUAGAAGUCUUAGUACCCCGGGACUGAUAGGUUGGGACGAGUACUAGCAUGCGAUAAGUAAACGAGACUCAUCGCAUUUAAAUACCUUAAUGGGGUGGUAAGGGUAGAAUAUGGAUAUGAUGACUGGUGCAUUAAUAUCUCGUGUGAGAAUGAUUGCUGGGUAUUGCACCAAAGUGAUCCAUAUUAUAUUUAAACCUAGGACCCCUUUCUUCUUUAUAUGAUGUGAUGUCUUCUUUUAAAAAAUUUAAUGUUUUUCUUCAAUCAUUUUUUGGGUAAGCCCUUAUGUCCUUUUUCUUUCUUUUAUUUUAAAACUUUCAAUUUACUUAUAUUCCUUAUGUGCAAACAUUGUUUGUUUAUUUCUGCCGAGAUAAUCUCAACCACACUAGUGGAUCUUGAGGGGUGUCUAAUACCUCCCCCCGAGAUAAUCUCAAGUCCUUAUCCAAACUCUGGUCUUCCUUCAAAAUCUUCUUCUUUUCUUUAAGUGUCCAAUGCACUAUAAUCAUUAGGUGGUGACUCUUCAAAAUCCAUAACCCAAUUCCUCAAAAGGGAAUAAGAGUUGUUUUGUCCAUAAUGUCGUAAACCCAAUUUCGCUCUUUUGGGGGAAAAAAUGGGGGUGUCGACAGCAUGGAGACUCUGCUGGGGAUUUAUUUAAGGCUUUUACCAUUAUGUGAUUUUGUGACUUUAUCGCUUCCUCAAUUGACUUUAUUUUCUCGCCUUUAAUCAUUUCAUCAUGAAUACUAACUCGGCUCGUCAUGUUUUUCUUUCCUUUCUCUUUCUUUUACCGCCUUAUUAUUAUUAUUUCAAUUCCGAGCAUUUAUUGUAAUCUUUACUUUAUGAAUGCGAAAAUACAUGCAAUUUGCUUUAUUAUUGUAACUGCAUUCCUCAACAUCAUAUUCCACUCGUGCCAAAACAAAUCCUAUAGCAAUGCUUAUAAUGAGUGGUUGCGCCAUUCUGAUAUUAUAACCCACAAAUGUGGCAAAGGCAUAUUUGCGGUAAAACCAGUUGAUCAACGAUGUAGUCGACGGUUCCGCGACUCUCCCUCUUGAGUUGUCCGCUCAAGGGUACCUUGUCUAGCACUUCAAAAGUAGAAACCUUAUUCCAUUAAAAUGUUCAUGCAUCAUGGUCAAACCUAGUCGAGUCAAUUAUUUUUUCCACAUAAUGACUCAUCAAGAUAUCCUAAAUCAAAGUCCACACCAUUUCCUCGGAACCCAAACAGACACCUCCACGUUAUGUGCAUUUAUUUGGAGAACUAAAUGCCUUAUUGCUAAUUAUUGAUUUAAAAAGUCGAGUCUGGUGGGGUUAAGGGCCUAACACUUUGUUUUGCAGAAAAUGAGGCACGUAGUCCCCAAAUUCGGUAUGGUAUCCAACAUUCACCCAAGGUUGUUAAAUUGGUGGGAGGAUCUUCAUGCUAGUGAUCAGACCCUCGUCCGCAAAAACUUAGGAGACCUUCCUUCACUUUUGGAAGUUAAGCCUGACAACAAGAUUAUCGAAGCUGCUACUUUAUUCUAGGAUAGUGAUAGGUCGAUUUUUUGCUUCGGGGACCUCGAAAUGACCCCUCUACUGGAAGAAAUAGGGGGUCUAGCCAGAAUACCUUGGGAGACUCCGGGUCUAAUUAUGCCCGAAAAUCGCAAAGGAAGGUGUUUUCUGAAAAUGAUGGGACUUAAGAAGAAUCCUGAUCUGACUUGUCUAAAGGAGUCUUACAUACCAUUUGUCUCCUAUUUGAAAGGUUUGGCCAGAACAAGUCUUACCUCACCUACCAUGAUGAGUUCGCCCUUACAUCUUUGGGGCACAUACAUAGGAGGGUCUUUGUGUUCAUGUUUUGCUACUUGGGUAUGAUAAUCUUUCCCAUGAAGAAGGUUAGGAUCCACACCAGACUAUCCAGGGUUACCAAAACCUUGAUGGAGGGUAUUGAUGGGCAAUAUUUCAGCAUAGUGCCCAUGAUAAUUACCGAAAUGUAUCGAGCUUUGGGGAAAUGUCAACAAGGAGCCCCAUACUUUGAAGGGUGUAAUCUGUUACUUCAACUUUGGCUCAUAGAAUAGCUUCAUAAAGGCAACUAUACACAGAAAAUCAUACGCAGGGAUUGGGAUGACCAUAUCGCUUUUCACCACCUAAAGCGAAUGAUUUUCAUGCCCAACAUGUUUGCUCAGCCAGAGGACGACAGUGGAUGGGUAGAGUUGUUCGAAAAUCUAAAAGAAGAGCAAGUUCAGUUGAUGUUCGAGUGGUUCCCAACAUGGGAGUUCAUUGUCCGUUCUCGAGAUGCACCAUUACUCAUACUCAUCGGUCUGAGGGGAGCUCAUCCUUAUGUCUCUCUCCGGGACAUGAGGCAAGCUGGAAGAAAGCAGAUCAUACCAAGGAUAGAGAAAAUGAGUCAUUUCAGGGCUGACUUUCAAGAUGAUGAUAACCCGCACAGGUGUCAAGCUCAGCAUAUGUGACACUGCAAGCUCAUCUUAUGGAAGGAGUCUAUUGAACCAAACAUGUAUAAUGCCGGGUGUAUACCGCACUACACAUGUUGGUUGGAAGAUGAUCACAUUGGUUUGGGUCAUCCAGGGUUUGUCCAUGGUCAUAGGCUUAUUGAUGAGAAAACUGAAUCACAAGUCAAAUAUAAUUAGCUGCGCAAGAGGAUGCGAGAAUGUGAGAAUGAACAUCGGGAAAUACAGGAAGCCCACGAGAACCUGAUCAACGAGUGGAAGGAUAUGGCUAUCAAUGCCAACAAUCGGCUGGGGUAUCUGGAGCGAGGUCCAGUGGGAUUGGAAGGGAAGUUCUUGAAGAGAAUUGAAGAUUGUCAGAAUGCCGAUGGAGGUGCAGGCGGACAUCUGGCCCAAGCCUAUCUGUUUUUAGGACUGCGCGAGUAGAUGCAGCUGUACGAGGGAGGCAAGAGUACCAAAUCUAGGGAAAGUCCUUCUGAGACCAAGUAGUUAGGAUCCUUUAUUUCCUGCUUUCAUAAUGUAAUAAGGCCGCUGGCCAUUAGUGAUAUUUUUAUUAUGCAGCUGUUUUAAGACUCGUCUUGUUUUUAUCAAUAAAAUGAGGUAUUUAACAUUAUAAGUUCCCCAAAUAUAAUUUGUUCCUAGGCCUACCUCGGGCACAACGAGGCACCCAAAUUAGGAAACGACUUAUAUUAUUGCACAACGUGUUUAAAUAUCGCAAUACUAUUCCUCAGAACCUGCAUUAACUUUUUACCUUUGUCAUUUUUCUUUUAUUUUUAUUCCCCUACCCGAAGGUUAGUUCGUGCAUUCCGGCACCAGCAACAUACGCAACAAGAUCCAAGGGUCCUCCACAUCCUCCUCCUCCGAGUCCUACCAUAAACAAGAACAAAGGCAAAAUGGGAGAUGCAAAUGCUAGAAAGUAACUCGAGGAAACUUCUUAAAAUGCUGCAAUUAACAAGGAGACUGGUGCUCAUCUUGAGCAAACUUUGCUUAGAUUUCGAGAGCAAUUGGAACAAGUCCGGAACCUAGCCAGACUGUCAAUCACUCUUGCCGCCCCUGAUGUUAACGCUCAGAAUCCCAUACCUCCACAAAAUACCCCACAACCACCGAUACAACCCACUUAUGCCCAAGCCGGCAACAUAUGCAACAACACUCCAUUAGUCAUUCCCGAAUCCCAAAACACCACCAACGACCACACCCAUAACAAUCCCAUCUUUGUGGACACUAUACCCUACUACACUCAGCCCGAAUCAGAUGACAAGGACUCCCUUAUUCAGAAUUUGGCCACUGAAUUCAAGAAGUUAACUAGCCGGGUCCAAGGUGUCGAAGGUAGCAAAGGUGUUAAAGGGUUGAACUAUGAAGAUCUUUGUGUUCAGCCUGAUGUUGAGCUUGUGGAAGGGUACAAACUUCCCAAGUUUGAGAUGUUCGAUGGUACAGGUGAUCCCAAUGUCCAUCUGAGAAUGUAUUGUGAUAAGCUGGUAGGAGUUGUAAGGGACGAGAAAAUCCACAUGAAGCUAUUCGUGAGGAGUCUGAAAGGCGAUGCCUUAUCAUGGUAUAUUUUCCACGAUGCAAAGAAAUGGAAAAGUUGGGUGAACAUGGCGUUUGACUUUAUGGACCGAUUUAGGUUCAAUACUGAGAACACACCAGAUGUGUUCUAUAUCCAGAAUCUAAAGAAGAAACCCACAGAGACCUUUCACGAGUAUGCUACUCGUUGGAGGUCAGAAGCUGCGAAGGUCAGGCUAGCCCUGGAGGAAGAGCAGAUGAACAGGAUCUUUGUCCGGGCUUAGGAUCUGCAAUACUAUGAGAGGCUAAUGCUGAUAGAAGGACAGAAAUUCUCUGUCAUCAUCAAGUACUAAGGUUAGGCCGGCCUUGGAGGAAGAGCAGAUGAACAGGUUCUUUGUCGGGGCUCAGGAUCCGCAAUACUAUGAAAGGCUGAUGCUAAUAGAGGGUCAAAAGUUCUCUGACAUCAUCAAGUUGGGNNNNNNNNNNNNNNNNNNNNNNNNNNNNNNNNNNNNNNNNNNNNNNNNAAGUUCUCUGACAUCAUCAAGUUGGGAGAAAGGAUCGAAGAAGGCAUCAAAAAUGGUAUGGUCACUAACCUCGAGGCAUUGCAAGCUACCAACAAGGUUUUACAGUCUGGUGGCUCGUUAAAGAAAAAGGACGUAAAUUCUGUAAUGCUUGCGCAAAGGAACAAUUCCCCUAUGAAGUACCAAACAUAUCCCUCAACUCCACUCACAUAUCAACCCACCAUAAAUUACCAAGUACCCUCACCUACAUACCAAAUGCCACCAUCUACCUACCAAUUACCUCCACCGCCGACAUAUCAACCCACUUCACCAAGAUAUUUCCAACCCGCACAUGUGUACCAAACAUACAACUCCCAACCUUCUCAUUACCCAUCACCACCCAUUCGCCAAAACUUUCCUCGACCUAGACCAAAUUUCGACCGAAGACCUCCAAGACAGUAUACCGCCAUAACCAAGCCAAUUGACCAAUUAUAUGAAAAACUCAAAGUAGCCGAUUACAUUUCACCUAUACCAGCCACAACUCCAGAAAAUCCUUCCCAAUGGAUCAAUCCCAACAAAAUCUACGCAUACCAUUCCGGAAUGAAAGGCCAUACCAUCGGUGAGUGUUGCUCGUUGAAAGACAAGAUUCAGACUUUGAUUAAUAACAAGGUCAUUAUAGAAUAUGAGUCUGCUCCCAAUGUUCGCAACAACCCUCUGCCUGACCACAAGGGUGGGGGCAUAUAUAUGAUCGAGAUUGAGGAUGAUUGGGACCCCAAAGGGUCAAUUGGGUUGAUUUCUGAGGGGGAAGAGCUAAGAAGCGGGUGGUUACCCUCAAUCCAAUUGUUGUUCGGAUCCUGCCCUCUGAGCGCAAUGUGGUAAAUGUGUCUGUAAUACUCGAGUUUGAAGUGCCUUAUGCAAAGGCGCCAGAACCCAUCGAACUUGAGUUUGGUAUCCCAAAAGCACCUGCACCAUUUGAAGUUACUGUGUUACCUCCAAGGAUGCCUAUUCCGGUUUCCAUGACAGAUGUGACCCCGUUCAAGUCGAACUCCAUACCUUGGGAUUACACAGCUGAGGCUAGAAGGAAAGGAAAAACAUAUACUAGAGAAGCAAUCGCCGCGUAGGGCAUGGUCACGACAGGCAGGGAAUACACCCCAGAACAUUUAGUUGAGUCCAGCAAGCAAGACUCUGGACGGCCUAUUGAAACUGGACCCGAUGACCUUUGGAGGAAGAUACAGGCCAAAUAGUACUCAGUCGUUGAGCAACAGAACAAGAUACCAACGCAGAUUUCCAUUUUGGCUCUUCUGCAAAGCUCCGAGGCGCAUAAAAAUGCCUUAAUGAAAAUAUUGAGUCAAGCUUAUGUUCCCAUCAACAUAACAGGAGGCGAAAUGAAAAAUAUGGUGGGGCAGGUACUGGAAAGCCAUAAAAUCACCUUCCACGAGGGCAUUGCACAUCACUGCGCACUACGAAGAUCAUUUCGUCACCAGGAUCCUGGUCGACGGGGGAUCUAGCCUUAGCAUUUACCCACUAAUAACCCUCAGGACAUUAGGUAAGGAUUUGCACGAAAUAAAAGAUAAAGUAAUCAAUGUCAAGGCUUUUUAUGGGUCUCAAAGAUCCACCAUUGAAGAAAUUAGCUUGUGCUUGCAGAUGGGACCUACCUGGUUCGAUGUUGACUUCCAAGUCAUAGGCGUGCCAGCAUCUUACAAUUUAUUGCUGGGACGACCCUAGAUCCAUGUCGCUGGGACUGUGGCAUCAACCUUGCAUCAAGCUAUAAAGUUCGAAUGGAAUCAUAAGGAAAUGAUCAUUCCCGGCGACGGCAGUAACCCUAUAUACAAUCGCCAAACAAUCCCGAUGAUCGAAGGUAGAAGGAGAAUAGGUAGAGAAACGUAUCACCACAUCGAGCGGGUAAACGCCAUGGACAAAGACAAGUGGUGGGAUAACAAAAUUGAGAGAAUUCUGAAUUGGAGUGGGUACAAGCCCGAAAAGGGACUUGGCAAGAAUCUCCAGGGCAUCACCAAGCCAUCAAGUUAAAGAAGCAUGGUGCCACUUUCGGCCUGGGGUAUGAGUACACUUGGGAGGAGUUAAAUCAUUGGUCGCCACCAUGGUGCAGCCCCUACCAUCCACUGGAGCACCCCAUACCUCAAAUGGAGCAGACCUUUCAGUCGGCUGACAUUAUAUAUGGAUCAGAGGAAGACGAGGCUCUGGCAGUGAUAAAGAACCUGUUUCAGAGGAUAAUAUGGAUUGUUGUGUUAUCUUAGAGGAGGAGGGGGGAGAAGGCCCUUCCAUUCAAGCUGUGAACCUGGGAGAACGACUCACAAAUCGGUCAGUCAGGACCACCAGUACCCGGAGAGCAUCGGGGUAGCAACGCUAAAUGAUGCACUAUGCAUCGCAUUUUACUUUUUAGGUGAUUUUACUUUUCCGCAUAAUCUUUACUUCUGAAAGGAGCUCCGAUGUUUCGAACAGUAUGAAUUUAAUCAAAAUCUCCAAGUUUAUUUUUUAUAUCUCGCUCUUAUUACCUUUCUCUAUCCUUUAUUUUAUUUUGCACAACAUUACUAUUACAUAUCUUGAUGAUGAACCAACGAUUACGACUUGAAAUGAGGCAAUGCAUCAAAUGGACAUAGAUUCAGAAGAGGAUGAAAUACCAGAAGAGGUUGUUAGGGAGGUCGGGAAUUUUGUGAACAAGCCUAAGUCUAAUUUGGACGAAACUGAGGUUCUUAAUUUGGGAGUAUGUAGAACGUCAAGGAAAUGUUUAUCAACGUACACUUGUCGCCGUCAGAAAAGAAAGACUACACAGAGUUCCUAAAAGAGUAUGAGGACAUCUUUGCAUGGUCUUAUGAUGACAUGACAGGUCUCAACACAUCCAUUUUGGCUCACAUGUAACCAUCAGAUCCGGCAUACCCGCCAGUAAAAGAGAAGCUCAGAAAAUUCAAGCCAGACAUGAGUUUGAAAAUCAAACAAGAAGUUACCAAGCAAGUCAAAGCCAGGGUUCUCAGGGUGGUAGAGUAUCCAAAAUGGUUAGCCAACAUCGUACCAGUACUUAAGAAGGAUGGGAAAGUUAGAGUCUGUGCCGACUACCGGGAUCUUAACCGGGCCAGUCCUAAGGACGACUUCCCUUUGCCAAAUAUACACAUAUUGAUUGACAACUGCGCCAAACAUGAGUUGUAGUCGUUCGUUGAUUGUUUUGCUAGAGACCAUCAGAUAUGGAUGGAUGAAGAAGAUGCAGAGAAAAUGACGUUCAUCACGCCGUGGGGGAUGUGCUAUUACAGAAUGAUGCCGUUCGAUUUGAAGAAUGAUGGUGCUACCUACAUGAGGGCCAUGACCACUAUCUUUCAUGACAUGAUACAUAAAAACAUUGAGGUGUAUGUGGAUGACAUCAUCAUCAAGUCUAGGAAAGCUAGAGAUGAAGAUUUGAGAAAGUUCUUCAACAGAUUGAGGAGAUACAACUUGAAACUGAAUCCCGCCAAGUGUGCAUUCGGGGUCUCUGCCGGAAAGUUAUUGGGUUUCAUUGUAAGUUGUUGGGGAAUAGAAUUGGAUCUAUAAAAGGUCAAAUCCAUUCAAGAGUCGUCACCACCAAAGAACAAGAAGGAUAUAAUGAGUUUUCUGGGAAGACUCCACUAUAUCACCCGGUUCAUAGCUUAGUCCACUGUCAUUUGUGAACCUAUCUUUAAGAUGCUAAAGAAGGAUGUCACCACUAAAUGGACCGAUGAUUGUCAAAAGGCUUUCGACAGAAUCAAAGAGUACUUGUCAACGCCACCGGUCUUGGUUCAGCCUGAACCUGGGAGACCCCUAUUAAUUUAUCAUACAGUAGUGGAUGGAGCGUUUGUUUUGUCUUAGGACAACAUGAUGAAACCGGAAGAAAGGAGCAAGCCAUCUACUACCUCAAAAAAAAGUUUACCCCGUACGAGGCUCGGUAUCCUUAUUAGAGCGCACCCGUUAUGCUCUGACUUGGGUAGCUCAGAAAUUGAGGCACUAUUUCUGUGCUUACACCACUUAUCUCAUAUCCAGAAUGGACCCGCUAAAAUAUAUCUUUCAGAAGCCCAUGCCUACCGUCAAGCUUGCCAAAUGGAAAAUCUUGUUAAGUGAGUUUGACGUUAUUUAUGUUACCCAGAAGGCAGUCAAGGGACAAGCUUUGGCAGAUCAUCUCGCCGAGAAUCCAGGGGGAGGAGAAUGCGAACCUCUAAAGAUGUAUUUUCCCUAUGAAGAGGAAGGUUUCAUAGGAGAAGACAUUGCAGAAUCAUAUGAUGGUUAGAGAAUAUUUUUCGAUGGAACCGCAAAUUUUAAAGGAGUUGGCAUAGGGGCAGUCCUGGUAUCAGAAAUCGGUCAGCACUACCCAGUAUCCACCAAACUCAGAUUCCCAUGCACCACCAAUAAUGCCGAGUACGAAGCCUCCAUCUUAGGGCUUAAACUGUCCAUCGACAUAAACAUUCAGGAGUUACUAGUGAUCGAAGACUCGGACCUACUCAUACAUCAGAUUUGAGAGGAAUGGGCAACCUAGAAUUCUAAGAUACUCCCUUAUCCACAUCCCAUACAGGAGUUGAGAAAGAGGUCCAGAAAGACAGAAUUCCAACAUGUUCCAAGAAUACAGAAUGAGUUCGCCGAUACACUAGCCACUUUGUCAUCCAUGAUUCAGCAUCCGGAUACAAAUUUCAUCAAUCCCAUCCUGGUCAAGAUUCAUGACCAACCAGCUUAUUGUGCUCACGUUGAGGAAGAAGCCAACAGAAAUCUAUGGUUCCAUGACAUCAGGGAAUACUUGACGAUGGGAGAAUACCCAGAACUUGCCAAUACUACUCAGAAGUGUGCGCUCCGAAGUUUAUCCAAUAACUUCUUUCACAACGGAGGAAUCAUGUAUAAGAGAACUCCUGAUUUGGGUGUACUAAGGUGUGUCGAUGCAAGGGAUGCAACCAAGCUAUUUGAUAAAGUGCACGCCGGGACCUGCAGACCGCACAUGAAUGGUUUUGUUUUAGCAAAGAAAAUACUCCGAGCAGGAUAUUUUUGGAUCACUAUGGAAACGGACUACAUCCAGUAUAUCUGAAGGUGCCAUCACUGUCAGAUACAUGCAGAUAUGAUGAAAGUACCUCCAAAUGAGCUUACUACAACAAGCUCACCAUGGCCGUUCGUCGCUUGGGGAAUGGAUGUUAUUCGACCAAUCGAGCUUGCGACAUCAAACGGGCACAUGUUCAUCUUAGUGUCAAUUGAUUACUUUACCAAAUAGGUUGAAGCAACAUCAUACAAAGUAGUGACCAAGAAAGUUGUAACAUAUUUUGUCCGCGGCCGUAUUGUUUGUCGGUUCGGAAUUCUUGAAUCAAUCAUCACUGACAAUGGUUCCAAUCUUAACAGCAACCUGAUGAAAGCAAUGUGUGGGACUUUCAGGAUCAAACAUAUGAACUCUACAGCUUACAGACCAUAGAUGAAUAGAGCUGUGGAAGCAGCCAAUAAGAAUAUCAAGAAGAUACUAAUAAAUAUGAUUGAAAGGCACAAGCAGUGGCACGAGAAAUUGUCGUUCGCCUUAUUGGGUUAUCGUAUUAUGGUCCGCACAUCAACCAAGGCCACACCCUACAUGCUGGUUUAUGGUACAGAGGCGGCCAUUCCCGCCGAAGUGGAAAUUCCCUCCUUAAGAAUUAUUCAAGAAGCAGUGUUAGAAGAUGCAGAAUGGGUACAAAGUCACUACGAACAAUUAGCCAUUAUAGAUGGAAAAAUAAUGAAUGCAGUUUGCCACGGUCAAUUAUAUCAGAACAGAAUGUCCAGAGCCUUCAACAAAAGAGUUUAUCCAAGGAAGUUCACGCCAUGGCAGCUGGUAUUGAAGAAAAUAUUUUCGCAUCAAGAUGCAGCCAAGGGAAAAUUCUCUCCUAAUUGGCAGGGUCCGUAUAUGGUACAUAGGGUUCCAACUGGAGGAGCCCAUAUUCUCGCAGAAAUGGACGGAGAAGUUUGGCCGAAGCCGAUCAACUUAGACGCAGUAAAGAGACACUACAUUUGAUCACAUGUUUUUCUUCAUGAUGUAAUUUGAACUACGCCUGACCUGAUUCCCGUUUAAGAGGGGAUACGUNNNNNNNNNNNNNNNNNNNNNNNNNNNNNNNNNNNNNNNNNNNNNNNNNNNNNNNNNNNNNNNNNNNNNNUUGAACUACGCCUGACCCGAUUCCCGUUUAAGAGGGGAUACGUAGGCAGCCCUAUGGGUUCGGUAAUAUUUUAAUAAAAUUUCCAUUUUCCCUCGCUAUUAGAACUGAGGUAGAAUUUUGAGAAGGACCCUCAAAAUUCCGAUGUCAGUUGUCAGCUUUCGCAUUAGCACCAACCCAAUAAACUGGGGCAGAAUUUUGAAGGAGGUCCUCAUAAUUCUGGAAUAAACCUGGGUUCAGUCAUUCAGCACAUCCGUCAGCAGCGCCAGCCUAGUAGACUGGGGUAGAAUUUCGAGGAGGACCCUCAAAAUUCUGGGACAAGCGAGGUUGCCGUGUCUUUGAACCACGUUGCAAUUGUCGAUUUAUCCAAAAUAAAAUCAUUUUCCAAAAUAUAUACUUACAUUAUAUUUACUAAAUCGUGCAUAGAUAUCACUUGCAUCUAGUCGUUUAGCAACGCUACCCUAAUGAUACCUGAGGUCAAAAGUCAGGGGAUAUGAACUAACCUUUCCCCUCUACAGAACUCAUGAUUUUUCUUUGAAUGCAGGCACCCCAGGUCGCAAAUUAUUGAGUACAUUCACUCACUCAUACUCUUCAGGAUUGAAGAACAAUCGCUCGUUUGCAAAGUUACUAUCUACACGUAACAUUCCCAGCAGCCACGAUAUCACAAUUAGCUGUCAGCUAAGAAAAUCUCAUUACUAUUCACUAUUUACAUUUCCUAUAUUUUGCAUAAGGCUACUUAUCUGCCUUUUGAGACUAAGCUCUGUCUCCAUCCGUAUUUUUCAUAAGGCUAUUUUCUGCCUUUUGAGGUUAAGCUCUACCUCCAUUCUGCAUAAGGUUACUUAUCUGUCUUUCGAGACUAAGCUCUGUCUCCAUCCACAUUUUUGCAUAAGGCUGCCUUUCGAGACUAAGCUCUGUCUCCAUCCGCAUUUUGCAUAAGGCUAUUUUUUUCCUUCCAAAGUUAAGCUCUACCUCCAUUCUGCAUAAGGCUACUUAUCUGCCUUUCGAGACUAAGCUCUGUCUCCAUAUGCAUUUUUUGCAUAAGGCUACUCAUCUACCAUUUGAGACUAAGAUCUAUCUCCAUCUGCAUUGCAUAAGGCUAUCUUCUGCCUUUCGAAGUUAAGCUCUACCUCCAUCCUGUAUAAGGCUACUUAUCUGCCUUUCGAGACUAAGCUUUGUCUNNNNNNNNNNNNNNNNNNNNNNNNNNNNNNNNNNNNNNNNNNNNNNNNNNNNNNNNNNNNNNNNNNNNNNNNNNNNNNNNNNNNNNNNNNNNNNNNNNNNNNNNNNNNNNNNNNNNNNNNNNNNNNNNNNNNNNNNNNNNNNNNNNNNNNNNNNNNNNNNNNNNNNNNNNNNNNNNUAAUCUUUGUCUCCAUCUGCAUUGCAUAAGGCUAUCUUCUGCCUUCCGAGGUUAAGCUCUACCUCAAUCCUGCAUAAGGCUACCUAUCUGCCUUCCGAGACUAAGCAUUGUCUCCAUCCUGCAUGGCUGAAAUAUCAUCACUUUUUAUUCUUCGAACGGCUGAAAUAUCGCCACUUGCAUUUUAAAGUCUCCCUCUGGCUAAAAGAUCACCACGCUUUGCAUUCAUUUGGCUGAAAGAUUGCCACUUUCUCAUGGGCUGAAAGAUCACCAACAUAUUCAAUUGCGUCAUAGUUCGGAGGCACCAUCUACAUAGCCCGAGAACAUCAUUUCAUGGCAUCCGAAUCCUUUACCUUUAUGCUCUUCAUGGCCUGGGACAUCAUAGUUUGAGGACGUCAUCCUAACCGCCCGAAGAUAAUAUUCAUCGUCCUAACGGGAACUUGCAUCAUGUAUUAAUUAUGCACAACACACACUACAUUGCUAAUUUAUAAGUACACUGGCUAGCAAAUGGCUGUCUCAAUAGAAACGCUCCCGCUCCGAUUCUCCCCAACUGUUCGACUUCACAAUCUUUCUCAAACUAGACCAUCGCGCCCAUUUUUUCUAAUCCCCCGUCAUUAGUUCCUGAACUAUAUAUGGCCUGAUUCCUGUAAAACCAGGGAUACGUAAGCAGCUCAGAAAUCAGAGCACGGUCAAUUCUUUUACAAUCGCUGAUUCCGGCCAAAAUUAGUCAUCUUAUCUUUACCCGGCAACUCUUUCAUCCUCCUCGGGAGAGGGGCAGCUGUUGAUACCCAAUUUUUCCCUAUAUACUUUUAUACUUAAAAUAGUUUCAAAAUGUCAUGUAUAUGCAUAUACAAGCAUCUCCAAAGGUUGGGGUAUUUUCCUUAAUUUUUUGAAGAUUUUUAUAAUCAAGUUAUUGUCUAUUUUAACGACAUAAAACUCAAUAAUUAUUCCCAAAAUUAUUAUCUAUGUGAGCCAUUUAUUUUCCACCCAUAUAUUUGCACCAAAUAUAAUCAAUGUGAUUUUAUCAUAAUUUUAUUAAUUUAUUUGAUAUUUUUAAAGCUAAAUUACUCAAAAUUGCAAUUAUAGCCAAUGUUAUAAAUAAUCGUGUUUUAUAAUUAUAAAAUUAUUCUAAAUAUUUUUAUAUUAAUUUUUAUAUAUUAUUAACUAGUUCUGUGCUUUCAAUUUGUUUUAAAACUAUUUUAAACUAUUUUAAUUAAUUAAAAGGGAAAAAGGUGGCUAUUUAGAAGCUGGCUCAUCUCCAUUUCAAUUAUGGCCACAUUUGGACCACAAUUCUCACCCCAAUCCAGCCCCAAUUAAAUGACCCAAUUUUGAUUUUACCCGCCCCAAACAAAAUUCAAUCCAACCCGUCUGGUUCCACCAUUCAAUCCUGGUCGUUGAUCAUUUUGAUCAAUGGCCCACGCUUCUUCUUACCUUUUUUAAUCCCCAAUUACCCCUAACCCUAUUCACUUCUCCAAACCAGCCUCCCUCAAAUUCCCUUUUCUCUCAAAUGCUCUCUAAACCCUAGCCGCCUACUUUCGUCUCUGAUAAAAAAUCCACUGGCGUCCAUGGCUUCUCAGGCCAUGAACAUCCUAUAUUCUCUCCCCUUUCACUCCAAGCCAUGAUUAUUCGAGUUUUUAAGGCUCAACCUUCAACAGACCUGUUCAGGUCCUCCGCCGACCUGAGCUCCUUUGGCUUCUCCGGCUCCGUUCCGGUGUGUUGGAGCUCUGAAAAACUUAUCCAUGGUCUAGAUUCAUUCAGAGACCAGACCAUUCCAGGCCUUCCCAUCUUUACAGUUUCUGAUAAACCCUAAAAAUCUUGAUUCGAGGUUUUUCUUUUCUUGUUUUCUUAGAUCUAUAGCAUAUAUGUGCUCUAUUUUGUGUUUUAACGAUUUCCCCUAAUUUCCUUCUUAAAAUUAGUCUGUUUAAAUUAGAGUUUUCAAAAAUCCUAAAAACGAUUCUUCUUCUUCUUUCUUUGUGAAAAUCUGUGUGUUCGUGCCACGCUUUAGGGGUUUUCAUUUGUUUCCUGUGAUUUGCUCUUAAUAUGCUUGCUCCUCUGCCUUUCUUCUAUCACUACUUCUACUGAUUUUUCUAUAAGUAAUUCUUGCCUGCCAUUUUUACUAUUUCCCCUACUGAAAGUGUUUACUUUUACUGUAUUUAUUUGGUUUAUGAACUUGCUUCUUUACUGCUUCCUAAAUUUCUAUGGCAUCUCCUCUGUGAAUUGUUUUGAUUUGAGUUUUUCUAAAGAACUUGUUCUUCACGAACUUUGUCACUCUAUUGUUUCUAAUUGCAACGUAUGAUUUCCCUGGGCUUAUUGUGAGAAUUUUCUUUCUCUUUUGUGUGUCCUACUCGGACUAAAACCAGGUGUCUAGGAUUCUUGCGAGCUUUUGGUUUUAGGGUUCUACCCCUAGAAACCCUAUGCUCUCAAACUCAUGUUAAGUUCAUAGAUUGGAUUGGAACUUUCUUUUCCUUUGCUUAUGAUUCAAAAACUAUUUAUGCUGAUAUCUUCUUCCUUACUUUAUGUUAGCAUGCUUAUAUACGAAGAUUUUUCUUCUGAAUUGAUUCUGUUAGCUUGUGAUUGAUUUCAAUCCUCUUUUACUAAGGAUCGAUUGAUUUGCUACUGAUUUUUACAACUCAGCCUUUUCCCUAUUUUCCUGACUAAGUUCAUUUAAGGUUUUUGAAUUUCCGACUGUUUGAAUAUUUUAUUUCCUUAUUCUUUCAAAAACUUAUAUAAUAGUUUCCUUUCUUAAAUAGAUUUUGUGUGCACCUGCCAUUUAUUUUGUUACACUGAAAGGUUUUUCCUUCCUUAAUUACCACUCCCGUUUGAAAUCAAAUCCCUUUGACUAAGGGAGAUUUUAUUUGAUUGACUGACUUUUUAUUUCCUUGCCUUCUUGUCUACUCAUUUUUUCACUAUAAAAGCUCACAGCACAUACAAGUUUCACACAACAAGUUUUUACACAAACACUCGAAUACAACUCAGUUCUCAAAAUUUUUUCUGCACCUUUACAAUACAUUAUCACCCCUGUCUUGCUUUACUAUUUUUUCUACUACUACUACCUUCUCUACUGCUACUGAGCACUCUUCUCCUUUAUCUCCUAUUGUCUAAAUAUUUCUGGAGUUCUUCUGAACUCCCAAGUACUUGCUGAAGUUUUCUGCUAACUAUCUGGAUGUCUACUUGCUCUUGUUCCUCUGGUGUACUAGAACUAAAAAAAUUGGUAUCUACUUCUAAGUUAAAUAACCCUCUCCUACUAUGUGUAUUCACUUCUCUUCUUCUACCCCUUCUUCAUUGUGUUUUCAUGUUCUAUAGCUUGUUAUUCUAUGGCUUUGCCUCUGCAGUCUGCUAUCCUUUCUUAUAUUUUUAGUGUCAGUGUAUGCUUCUGUAUGGAAAUCCCUUUCCCCUAUUCCCUUUUUGUGUGCAAGGUCCUUCUAUGUUUUUCGCAUUUACAGUAUGCUAUGCUUUCUUAUAUUUUAAUGUCAGUGUAUGCUUCUGCAUGGAAAUUCCUUCCCCCUAUUCCCCUUUUGUGUGUACUGUUCUGAAUUAGGCAGCAUCUGACAUUGCUUUCCAUGAUCCAGAAUCAGACUCUCCUGAGUCUCUACUCAAAUUUUUUCCCAUUCCCUCUCCCCCUUUAUGUGCUGAGCUUUAACUUUGGCAUGUAGUUUCCUAAUCACCACUCAGACCCUAAGUUUGACUCCUUAGAGUCUGCUCUUAUUUGUCAGACCUAAGCAAAGGGUCAGGGGUGUGCCAACCUAUGCCAUGGCUGGGUUUGACCACCCUUUUCUAUGGUUACCCUCUAACUUUGCACUCAUUCCUAGUUCUUAAGCUCUAUCCCCUUUGCUAAGCCAUGCUUAGGGACCCUGGAGUUCCUUCUGAACUUGGAUGCCUGAGGGUUGGUAAUUCCACACUUGCACUAUUCUGUUACAACAUUUACUCUUCAAAGUGUAAGCAUUGAAUGGGCUCUUGAAGCUCCCUGGAACUUUGAAACACUUUGAAUAAGAGAAGUCCUUGGAAUCUUGAAUCCGGAUUUGGUGAAACAAAUUUUAUUGGAUAUUGAGAUUGCAUUAGGCAGUUUGGAUCUAGCUGCAGGUUGUGAUAUAUUUUAAUUACUUUCUUCCUUCUG